UACGUAGGGUGCGAGCGUUAAUCGGAAUUACUGGGCGUAAAGGGGGCGCAGGCGGUUAUUUAAGUCAGGUGGGAAAGCCCUGGGCUUAACCUAGGAAUUGCGCUUGAGACUGGAUAGCUUGGAGUGCGGCAGAGGGAGGUGGAAUUCCACGUGUAGCAGUGAAAUGCGUAGAGAUGUGGAGGAACACCGAUGGCGAAGGCAGCCUCCUGGGCCAGCACUGACGCUCAUGCACGAAAGCGUGGGGAGCAAACAGG
rnacentral:rRNA from 1 species